UUUUUACUCCCUCCGUCCCAAAAUUCUUGUCUUAAAUUUGUCUAAAUACGGAUGUAUCUAGUUACAUUUUAGUGUUAGAUACAUCUGUAUCUAAACAAAUGUAAGACAAGAAUUUUGGGACGAAGGGAAUACUAC
rnacentral:pre_miRNA from 1 species